AACCAGCACCUCAAGUGGUCAGGAUGAUUAUUGGGCCUAAAGCAUCCGUAGCCGGCUCUGCAAGUUUUCGGUUAAAUCUGUACGCUCAACGUACAGGCUGCCGGGAAUACUGUAGAGCUAGGGAGUGGGAGAGGUAGACGGUACUCGGUAGGAAGGGGUAAAAUCCUUUGAUCUAUUGAUGACCACCUGUGGCGAAGGCGGUCUACCAGAACACGUCCGACGGUGAGGGAUGAAAGCUGGGGGGAGCAAACCGGAUUAGAUACCCGGGUAGUCCCAGCUGUAAACUAUGCAAACUCAGUGAUGCAUUGGCUUGUGGCCAAUGCAGUGCUGCAGGGAAGCCGUUAAGUUUGCCGCCUGGGAAGUACGUACGCAAGUAUGAAACUUAAAGGAAUUGGCGGGGAGCACCACAAGGGGUGAAGCCUGCGGUUC
rnacentral:rRNA from 1 species